CUAGUGGCGGACGGGUGAGUAACGCGUGGGUAACCUGCCUUAUACAGGGGGAUAACAACCAGAAAUGGUUGCUAAUACCGCAUAAGCGCACAGGACCGCAUGGUCCGGUGUGAAAAACUCCGGUGGUAUAAGAUGGACCCGCGUUGGAUUAGCUAGUUGGCAGGGUAACGGCCCACCAAGGCGACGAUCCAUAGCCGGCCUGAGAGGGUGAACGGCCACAUUGGGACUGAGACACGGCCCAGACUCCUACGGGAGGCAGCAUG
rnacentral:rRNA from 1 species